rnacentral:rRNA from 1 species
UGGGGAAUAUUGGACAAUGGGGGCAACCCUGAUCCAGCCAUGCCGCGUGAGUGAUGAAGGCCUUCGGGUUGUAAAGCUCUUUCGCCCACGACGAUAAUGACGGUAGUGGGAGAAGAAGCCUCGGCUAACUCCGUGCCAGCAGCCGCGGUAAUACGGAGGAGGCUAGCGUUGUUCGGAAUUACUGGGCGUAAAGCGUGCGUAGGCUGUGAAACGAGUCGGAUGUGAAAGCCCGGGGCUUAACCCUGGAAUUGCAUCCGAUACUGUUUUGCUAGAGUUGAGGAGAGGAGAGCGGAAUUCCCAGUGUAGAGGUGAAAUUCGUAGAUAUUGGGAAGAACAUCGGUGGCGAAGGCGGCUCUCUGGCCUUUGACUGACGCUGAGGCACGAAAGCGUGGGGAGCAAA